UACGUAGGGUGCAGGCGUUAAUCGGAAUUACUGGGCGUAAAGCGUGCGCAGGCGGUUUCUUAAGUCAGAUGUGAAAGCCCCGGGCUUAACCUGGGAACUGCGUUUGAAACUGGGAGACUUGAGUGUAGCAGAGGGGGGUGGAAUUCCACGUGUAGCAGUGAAAUGCGUAGAUAUGUGGAGGAACACCAAUGGCGAAGGCAGCCCCCUGGGUCAACACUGACGCUCAUGCACGAAAGCGUGGGGAGCAAACAGG
rnacentral:rRNA from 1 species